rnacentral:rRNA from 1 species
AUUGAACGCUGGCGGCAGGCCUAACACAUGCAAGUCGAGCGAGCGGCGGACGGGUGAGUAAUGUCUGGGAAACUGCCUGAUGGAGGGGGAUAACUACUGGAAACGGUAGCUAAUACCGCAUACCAUCGGAUGUGCCCAGAUGGGAUUAGCUGGUAGGUGGGGUAACGGCGCACCUAGGCUACGAUCCCGAGCUGACCUGAGAGGGUGACCGGCCACACGGGAAUGGAGACACGGUCCAGACUCCUACGGGAGGCAGCAGUGGGGAAUAUUGGGCAAUGGGCGCAAGCCUGACGGAGCAAUGCCGCGUGAGUGAAGAAGGCCUUCGGGUUGUAAAGCACUUUCAGCGGGGAGGCGUUACCCACACAGGAAGCACCGGCUAACUCCGUGCCAGCAGCCGCGGUAAUAC